rnacentral:rRNA from 1 species
GACGAACGUCUCGGCGGGCGGUGCCUAACACAGUGCAAGUCGAACGGAGUGAGUGAGUUCGGUUAAGUCACUUAGUGGCGAACGGGUGAGUAACGCGUGAGAAACCUGCCUUUCAGUGGGGGACAACAGUUGGAAACGACUGCUAAUACCGCAUAAUGUCAUUUGGGGGCAUCCCUGGAUGACCAAAGAUUUAUUGCUGAAAGAUGGUCUCGCGUCUGAUUAGCUGGUUGGCGGGGUAGCGGACCACCAAGGCGACGAUCAGUAGCCGGUCUGAGAGGAUGAACGGCCACAUUGGGACUGAGAUACGGCCCAG